GGCGGACGGGUGAGUAACACGUGGAUAACCUACCUAUAAGACUGGGAUAACUUCGGGAAACCGGAGCUAAUACCGGAUAACAUAUUGAACCGCAUGGUUCAAUAGUGAAAGGCGGCUUUGCUGUCACUUAUAGAUGGAUCCGCGCCGUAUUAGCUAGUUGGUAAGGUAACGGCUUACCAAGGCAACGAUACGUAGCCGACCUGAGAGGGUGAUCGGCCACACUGGAACUGAGACACGGUCCAGACUCCUACGGGAGGCAGCAGUAGGGAAUCUUCCGCAAUGGGCGAAAGCCUGACGGAGCAACGCCGCGUGAGUGAUGAAGGUCUUCGGAUCGUAAAACUCUGUUAUCAGGGAAGAACAAAUGUGUAAGUAACUGUGCACAUCUUGACGGUACCUGAUCAGAAAGCCACGGCUAACUACGUGCCAGCAGCCGCGGUAAUACGUAGGUGGCAAGCGUUAUCCGGAAUUAUUGGGCGUAAAGCGCGCGUAGGCGGUUUUUUAAGUCUGAUGUGAAAGCCCACGGCUCAACCGUGGAGGGUCAUUGGAAACUGGAAAACUUGAGUGCAGAAGAGGAAAGUGGAAUUCCAUGUGUAGCGGUGAAAUGCGCAGAGAUAUGGAGGAACACCAGUGGCG
rnacentral:rRNA from 1 species